UUGCGCACCAGCCACAGGUCUCAGCUGGGCACUCCUGAGCUCUGUGCUGCAACCUUGGGGCAUUGGGCUCUGUCUUUCGGCCCCUCGGGGUCAGACCCCUGCUGUGUUGGGGGAUCCGAAGUGCUCCCAAGCUGCCUGGAAAGCAUUCAGGCGGGGUCGCUAGCAAGAACUCAGGCUGGGCAGCGGAGGCGGCACAGUGCACACACUCCUGCAGGAACAACCAGACAGGGGCUUUGGGAGGGGCUGCGUGCAGGGGGUCCCGCAGAACAUAUGCGCCCCAGUCCCGCAGGAAGGACCGCCCUGCUCUCUCUUGGCUCACUGGUGGGGACAGCACUUCCUGGAAUAACGUUGCUUUGGAUUUAACAACAGUUGGGCAAAGGAGGUCGGUAUACAGAUACAGGACAAGAAGAGUGGUGUCAAAGGGAGGCUAAAUCAUUGGUUCUGGCUUCAUCUAAGGAAUUCUUAUGAGAAAUCGAGGGAGAGACUGUCCUGGGAAGUCUGAUGAAACAUGAUCAAGAUAUUUUAACUUCUGUGUUUAGCGCCUUUAAUAGAUUGAGCUAAGAAGUCUAAGCAAUCUUCAGGGCUAAGAAACAAGCUGCACUUGCCAGAGUUGGAUGUUCACACCUUGGUGAUGGCUGAUAUUAAACAGAAUUCUUAAUGAACAAAUCGGCCUUGAAAAGGGAACAUGGUGAAGCAAGACAAAAGAAUUACAAACUUUGACUGAAACUUUCUCCUACCAGGAAUACAGGGACCGCUCACCAGGUUGUGAUGAGAAGGAUCAUCUGAAAUGCUCCAUUGCUCUCAGAAGUUGAGGUAACUUCAUUGGGCCCAAACUGAUAAACUAGGAAUGGCUCAGAAAAUAGCCCCUUAGAAGAACUGUAUGAAGCUUGGAUCCAUUUUUCUGAGAAAAAAGAAAAAUCCCUCCAAUGAUUUGGUGAGGAGUUGAAGACAAAUAUCUUUAUUAUUUAUAAGUAUUCUGGCCAAGACAAUGAGUGUUGGAGUGGGAGGAUGAGGGAAUUUUAUGAUGAACGACAGCACAGCAAGAUGGACAGUAAGGCUCUGUCAUUGCCAUACCAGAUGUACAGAAGUGUUGAUGGUUGUUUCUAGUUUGGGGCUAUUAUGAAGAAAGCUGCUAUGAAGAACAUCCAUGUACAAAUCAUUUUAUGGACACACAUACUCAUUGCUCUUGGACUUGGACUAAAUUCUACACCACAGGCUCUCCUGGUUCUCAGGCCAUUGGAUUCAAACCAGAAUUUAUACCAUCAGCUCUCUUGGUUCUCAGGACUUUCAACUUUGACUGAUACUAUACCUUUGGCUCUCCUGGGUCUUCAGUUUUCCAACUGCUUCUCUUGAGCCUCUUAGCCUCCAUAAUCAUGUGAACCAAUUCUUUACAGUACAGUACAAAUCUCUCUCCCUCUCCCUCUCCCCUCCCUCAGCCCCCUAAAUUUGUUAGAACUGAUGAAUAAAAUUCAGUAAAGUAGGUUACAAAAUCAACAUACAAAAUUUAAUA
ensembl:lncRNA novel transcript, antisense to TSHR